CAUUAAAAAAAAAAAAAAGAAAAAGGAAGAAGACUUGAACAAGAUGGGGAGGGAUUUUUAUCCAGAGUUUAUUCCCUUACAGAAUAGAGGACUUUAUUUUUUUCAAACAUCGUUUUUUAAGAUGUAUUUUCAGUUGCUAGCAAAUAUAUUUGGAAGUAAAUACCUUCCCAUGAGCAUUUUGCACUCCUUCAUUUUGUUGGGUUUUGUUUUGGCUAGGUGAGUGAUGCAUAAAACCGUCUCCAUGAUGUUAUUUCUUUGUGGAGUGCUGCUGAAAGGAUGUUUUCGGUGUUUCCCACAAGAGCCAACACAUUUUUCUCUGGAGAGUAAAAUCUCCCCCAGGGAUUCCUGUGCGAAGGGAAGGAUGUGUUGGCGGGGAGCGCCACCGCUGGGCUGGCACCUGUCUUUCACUCUCUUCUGCCUUUUAGAUCUAGUUUCUGCAUUUUCUCUGGUUUGAACUGUGGCUUUGGGUUUAUCUAUUUACACGCACGUUUGGAGCCGCAAGAGAGCGAACCGAGCAAGCGAAGGUGUAAAGUGCCAAAGAGCAGCUGUGAAUGAAAAUAGCAGAUAUAUUCUCUAUGAAUUUUACCAAACCCUCACCCUUUAGUCUGAUGUUUGCCAUCUCCUGGGUUGCUGAAGUCCCUUUCAGGUAAGUGUGCUGAAGUGCUGGCAGGACUUGCUGACUGAGCAAAAAGGGCUCUGUAGGAGCCUGAAUUGCCACUUUAAAUUUGUUUCAAAACUUCUAGAUCUUUUCAUCCCACUUGAAUCUUAUUUUACCACCCUUAUUUUACUACUGCAUUUACUAGGCUUAACUGCUCUAUUUUUUUUAAUCUGGGUUAUUAAUUAAAACAGUGAUUCCUCCUUGGAGUUAAGAAGUGACUCAAACUUGUGAUCGCACUUGAGCAGAAUGCUUGUGCACUUUAAGUAGCAACAAGAGCCAAAGCAAAGCUCUGCAGCCCUGAAUGUCCCUGCCAGGAACAAACGUCCAGAAAUAGGGACAAAAUUCAAUGGUCUGGCUGUCCAGUGCUUGCUGUUAUCACAUGCUGGGAAAAGGAUCACGUGAAGAGGCGGGGAAUCAGCCCUGCAGAGCCUGGGUGGCAUCGUGGUGUUGCUGGUGGGAUCCUGGCAGCUCUGCCCCGAUGGCGUUUGUAACCCAGCAUCAGAUCCAAAAGUUCCGCGAGGAUGGCUUCCUUGUCCUAGAGCAUUUUUUCACUGCAGAGGAGUGUGACAGCAUGAGGAAUCAGAUUCAAAGGAUCAUAGCAGAGAUGGAAGUGCCACUGCACUGCCGCACCGAGUUCUCCACCAAAGAAGAGGAGCAGCUCCAGGCGCAGGGUAGCUCGGAUUAUUUCCUAACCAGUGGAGACAAGAUUAGAUUCUUCUUUGAGAAAGGUGCUUUGGAUGGGAGAGGUAACUUUCUAAUUCCAAAGGAGAAAUCCGUCAGCAAGAUUGGCCAUGCUUUACAUGCUUAUGAUCCUGUCUUCAAGCAAAUCACCCACUCCUCCAAGGUGCAGGAAUUGGGAAGAAAACUAGGCCUUGAGAGACCAGUAGUUGUGCAAAGCAUGUAUAUCUUCAAGCAACCUGGCAUUGGUGGUGAAGUGACCCCACACCAGGAUGCCACCUUCCUGCACACAGAGCCUCUGGGCAGAAUCCUGGGGUUCUGGAUUGCCCUGGAGGAUGUCACGCUGGAGAACGGCUGCUUGUGGUUCAUUCCUGGCUCUCACACCAAUGGAAUUAGCCGGAGAAUGGUCCGUGCAGCUUCAUGUACCUCAACACGUGUUGUAGAGUUUGUAGGGUCAGAGCCAGCCUACGAUGACAGCCAGUUCAAACCUCUGCCUAUAAGUAAAGGUGGACUCAUUCUUAUCCAUGGUGAAGUCGUCCAUAAGAGUGAACUGAACAGCUCAGAGUCCUCUCGCCAUGCAUUCACCUUCCAUGUGAUGGAAGCCAAAGACACCAGCUGGAGCAAAGAGAACUGGCUCCAGCCAACUCCCGAACUGCCUUUUCCAUCACUCUACACUUGAAGUUAGUGAUUGGCUUCUGGAGUUAAUAGCUGAUCAAUAUUCCUUUCUGGUUGUUUGUUCAUGUUCCUUUUAAAUACAACUUUCACUAGAUCAGCUCUCAAGAUUAAUUUGUCCUCUUCUCAGAACAAGGACCCUUGACACAGCUGAACACACCUGCAUUAGACAGAAGCUUCUACUUCAGCAUGAGCCCUAUGACUAUGAGAAUAGUCGCCCAGUCCUUUUGUGUCUUUGAAUGAAAAUGUGAAGCAAACAAACCAUAAAUAUUCCCAGAAGGCUUUAUUGUGAUGGUGUGAGUUUGAAAUAUAAUUAAUUUAAAAGUUUAAAGGUAAUUUUAGAACCUAAUUUUAUAUGCAGUUUUCACUGUAUUUUUACCGAAUGUUCCUCCUUUAUUAAAUAUUUCUCUUCCCACUGCUGUGCAAAACCCCCUACGUACCUCUCUCCUUCUGUCACUGGUGUUAUGAUUGAAUACUUCCCAUUAGUGUAGUAGGUGUUUUAUAAUGCUAUAUAGUAUUUAGAAUAGAAGUAGGAAAGAAAACAUCACAAUCACUUAAAAAAAUUGCCAAAUGGCAUACUUUAAUUUUGAUCUAUUAGCAGAACUGUCAAGAUAAGCUAAGCUGGAGAUCUGAGCACAGAAAAAUGAAGUGAACACACCUCAUCUUGCCUGUAGCCGUGAGAGGAUGUUUAUCACAUCCUUAAUAUUAAGCAGCCUAAUUUGUUUUGCUUCUACAGCACUGCUGGGUCAUAUUUGUUACGAAGAUAUCUAUUCUGAAAUACGCUUCUAGACCAUCUUGAUGUAUUGGCAAUAUUCUGUUUAACUCUAGGAUGUGUUGUAGCCAUAUGAUUUAACUAUUAUACAGCUUCAUAGGUGAGUAAAUGAGUCUGAUUUAUUCUUGCUUAUUUUUAAAGAAAGGUAUUGGCUUCAUUUCUCUUUAACACAUGGCACGGCCUC